rnacentral:tRNA from 1 species
AAGGAUUUAGCUUAAUUAAAGUGGUUGAUUUGCAUUCAAUUGAUGUAGGAUAGAGUCUUGCAAUCCUUAGG